GAUGAACGCUAGCGGCAGGCUUAAUACAUGCAAGUCGAGGGGGCAGCAAUGUCACCGGCGAACGGGUGCGUAACGCGUAUGCAACCUACCUACAUCAGGGGGAUAGCCCUAGGAAACUGGGAUUAACACCGCAUAACAUAUGACAAGGCAUCUUGUUAUAUUGAAAUAUUUAUAGGAUGUAGAUGGGCAUGCGUAGGAUUAGCUAGUUGGUAAGGUAACGGCUUACCAAGGCUACGAUCCUUAGGGGCUCUGAGAGGAGUAUCCCCCACACUGGCACUGAGAUACGGGCCAGACUCCUACGGGAGGCAGCAGUAGGGAAUAUUGGGCAAUGGAGGCAACUCUGACCCAGCCAUGCCGCGUGCAGGAAGACGGUCCUCUGGAUUGUAAACUGCUUUUGAAUGGGAAGAAUGUGUGGCUUGCGAGCUAUAAUGACGGUACCAUUAGAAUAAGCCACGGCUAACUACGUGCCAGCCGCCGCGGUAAAAC
rnacentral:rRNA from 1 species